CGACCGCAUCACAUUGAAACACUGGUUCCCAUCCGAUCAUCGAAGUUAAGGAACGUCGAACGUAGUCAGCACCUAGAUGGUUGACCAUUUGGGAAUACCAGGUGCUGUAAG